UGGGGUACUUUAAAAAAAAGAGUAAGUUUGCGUCUUAAAAUUGGCUUAGGCCCUCCGCUUGU
rnacentral:tRNA from 2 species